rnacentral:misc_RNA from 1 species
GAUGAAGAACGCAGCGAAAUGCGAUAAGUAAUGUGAAUUGCAGAAUUCAGUGAAUCAUCGAAUCUUUGAACGCACAUUGCGCCCGCCAGUAUUCUGGCGGGCAUGCCUGUUCGAGCGUCAUUUCAACCAUCAAGCCCCCGGCUUGUGUUGGGGACCUGCGGCUGCCGCAGGCCCUGAAAACCAGUGGCGGGCUCGCUAGUCACUCCGAGCGUAGUAAUACAUCUCGCUCAGGGCGUGCUGCGGGUACCGGCCGUUAAAAGCCUUAUUUACCCAAGGUUGACCACGGAUCAGGUAGGAAGACCCGCUGAACUUAAGCAUAUCAAUAAGCGGAGGA